rnacentral:rRNA from 1 species
AUGGGUUCCCGAUUGUUCCUAGAUAUUUCAGAGCAACUAGAGUGGUCUUACCUGACAAGCUCCAAUGUUGUGCUGAAGUAUUUUGAACAAGCUUGUCCUUUGCCUUAUGCCGGAACAAGGCACCUUCUAUUCCCCAUGGGCACCAAGAAUGCGAAGACAUUGACGAUUCGAGCAAAUGUAGGUUCAGGCUUCAAGAUUGAGCCGAGCGCCCUACCAGCAGAUCUGGAUAAUGCAUAUCAGCGAUUGGAUAUUUCUGGCCCUACAGUUAACCCUUUUGUUUUUUCCUGUAUGACACUCGAGAGCUGUGGUUGGGAUGUCGCCAGGGUGGAUGAUUUUGAAGGCGAGCUCGACGGCUGCAAUAUCAGGGAAGCCCUACUGAACUACUGCAGGGAUAUAAAGCAGUACCUGAACAUACAAAAGCUGGCCACAACUCUGUCUUCAAUUCCAUCUUGUUUCCAGAUUUCAGGAGUAGAUCAUCACCACCAUCACGACGAUCAGGCUCUUUGUCAGUGCAAAUAA